CUCUUUCUAAACUUAUCACAUGUUUUGUAUGAAAAUGAUUAAAUUUUGUAUAUCAAGGUACGUGACGUCAAAAUGAUCUUGAAUAAAUUUUUAUUUAAUUUAUAUAAUGACAAAAAUAAGAAAGGAAUGAUUCAGUAUUAUAAUCUAUAAUAUUUCAAUUGAUAUUCAAUUGCGUAUUUUGAUAAUGAUAUUGAACGUUAUUGUACGUUUUAUUUGGACAAAAAUGAUGGGAUUAGAUGAUUGGGAACAAUAUAAUUCAGUAUUAUCCUAUGAAGAUAUUUUCAUCAAUUUUUUUAUUGUUGAUAUCAACUUGUUUACAGGUACAGAAAUGUCGAUUAAAAAUCAAUAAAUGUCGAUGAGUUCAUCAAGAAAAGAAAAAAAGGAAAAAAAAAAGAAAAAAAGAAAAAAAAAAAACAAGAAAAAAGAGAAAAGAAAAAAGAAAACGAAAAAGAGAUACAAAAACAAAAAUCCUUCGAGGUAUAUUUGAUCAAUCAGAUCCAUCAUAAUUACUAAUUACCAUGUUGGAAAAUAUAUUUGAAAUAAGUUAACUAAUUAUUUUUGGAGAGAAAAUGAGAGACUCCCAAACGAUAUUAUUUUAUUCACAAUUGUUUGUUGUGUUGUGUCUUACACGUAAAGACAAACGUGGCACACCACACAGUUGAAUUUGCUUUGGAUCUUCGAUAGUGUUUGUUGUGUGUGUUUGUUGGUAGUACCAACAGCAAGAACGUGAGCAUCGAACAGGAGGAGAGCUAGGAGGAACCGGUUUAAUCUUAUAAAUUUGAGAUCGAAUGAUCUCUUAAGAAAGAAAGAGAAAGAGAGAAGAGAUUUCGCAUACUCACCUAGUUUUCUACCCCCUUUUGCCUGCUGGUCCCAUCUUCCUCAUCUCGCGUUACCAUUUACGGCUUCACUGAGUCCACGUGGUUAUCGUGUGUUCCUUUUCUCUCUCUUUCUCUCUCUUUCUUACUUCUUGAGUACUCAACACGGAGUCUUCGAAGUUACCAAGCGAUUCUCGAAGGGUACGGAGUCAAUAUCAAUGAAGUUGUAAACAUUCUACUACCUCUUAUCUAUUCAAAGAUAUCAGAGACUUUUAGAAUAUAUGGAAAGAGAAAGAAGGAAGAUAUAGAUAACAAGGAGAGGAUGUUGAAGGAGAAAAGGAGGGGAGGAUAGAUCAUUUAAAAUUCUAAUUUUCAUAAAAUAAGAACAUCGAGUGAUCCUCUCUUCGUCGUCCACUCAACGUAUUAGAGAAACCGUACGUUGUUCUCUUGCAUUUCUUUGACUCCUUGCAACUAAUGAUCAUAACACGUUGCAUGACGGAUAGAAGAGAAAGAGAGAGAGAGAGAGAGAGAGAGAGAGAGAAGAAGAAAUAUAAAAAGAAAAGAAAAGGAGAAACGAAAGGAAAGAAGGAUAAAUAGAGCAGUAUAAAAAGAUGAUAGAAA